rnacentral:lncRNA from 1 species
CAAUAAUGGGAUAUGUAAGUGCAGAGCCACGCUCUUGUAUCGAAGUAACACCGGAAACAUGUAAACAAAGCACAUUAGCAAAAAAAAGUGAAGAAUAUGAGAAUUAUCAUAAACUAUAACAUAAUGACAGGAUGUACAAGUACCACAAGUAACUUAAUCACAAUAAUACAAACAAACAUCCAACAAAGAAGCACUAACGGCACCCAUCAAAUCAAACAACCCCACUCACAGCCCUCUAUUUUGGAAUUAUAUUUCUAUCUGUUAAAUCCACCCAUGAAAGAUUGAAAGACCUUAAGCACCGGGACCGAAUGACCAGGUGUACAUCAACUCUGACGUAGAAUCCUGCGCUUGACGCCAGAGUGUAAACGUCACACAGGUAGAGAUCUAACAUAAUUUGGACACAAUAGAACAACAACACAAUAGCGGGAUGAACAAGUCCAGAGUCACGUCAAAUGUAUCAAAGAAGACAAAAUGUCACACGGACAAAGCAAAAAUGAAAGAUGAUACAAACACAAUAACGGGAUGCAUAAGUACAGAGCCACGUCAAAUGGAUAUCUCCAAAAACAGAUCAAACAGUAAAAAUAAUAUUUAUAAAGACAGACACAAG